GUAGGGAGCAAGCGUUGUCCGGAUUUACUGGGUGUAAAGGGUGCGUAGGCGGCUUUGCAAGUCAGAUGUGAAAACCUAUGGCUCAACCCAUAAAACUGCAUUUGAAACUGUAGAGCUUGAGUGAAGUAGAGGCAGGCGGAAUUCCCCGUGUAGCGGUGAAAUGCGUAGAGAUGGGGAGGAACACCAGUGGCGNAGGCGGCCUGCUGGGCUUUAACUGACGCUGAGGCACGAANGCGUGGGGAGCANNCAGGAUUAGAUACCCUGGUAGUCCACGCUGUANACGAUGGAUACUNGGUGUGCGGGGACUGACCCCCUGCGUGCCGCNGUUAACACNCUANG
rnacentral:rRNA from 1 species